UGGGGAAUUUUGGACAAUGGGCGAAAGCCUGAUCCAGCAAUGCCGCGUGUGUGAAGAAGGCCUUCGGGUUGUAAAGCACUUUUGUCCGGAAAGAAAUCCUUGGCUCUAAUACAGUCGGGGGAUGACGGUACCGGAAGAAUAAGCACCGGCUAACUACGUGCCAGCAGCCGCGGUAAUACGUAGGGUGCAAGCGUUAAUCGGAAUUACUGGGCGUAAAGCGUGCGCAGGCGGUUUGCUAAGACCGAUGUGAAAUCCCCGGGCUCAACCUGGGAACUGCAUUGGUGACUGGCAGGCUAGAGUAUGGCAGAGGGGGGUAGAAUUCCACGUGUAGCAGUGAAAUGCGUAGAGAUGUGGAGGAAUACCGAUGGCGAAGGCAGCCCCCUGGGCCAAUACUGACGCUCAUGCACGAAAGCGUGGGGAGCAAACAGGAUUAGAUACCCUGGUAGUCCACGCCCUAAACGAUGUCAACUAGUUGUUGGGGAUUCAUUUCCUUAGUAACGUAGCUAACGCGUGAAGUUGACCGCCUGGGGAGUACGGUCGCAAGAUUAAAACUUAAUGAAUUGACGGGGUCAUAGCUG
rnacentral:rRNA from 1 species